GGAAUUGUGGUGAUUCGCUUUAGU
rnacentral:siRNA from 1 species